AAAUUGAAGAGUUUGAUCAUGGCUCAGAUUGAACGCUGGCGGCAGGCCUAACACAUGCAAGUCGAACGGUAACAGGAAGCAGCUUGCUGCUUCGCUGACGAGUGGCGGACGGGUGAGUAAUGUCUGGGAAACUGCCUGAUGGAGGGGGAUAACUACUGGAAACGGUAGCUAAUACCGCAUAAUGUCGCAAGACCAAAGAGGGGGACCUUCGGGCCUCUUGCCAUCGGAUGUGCCCAGAUGGGAUUAGCUUGUUGGUGGGGUAACGGCUCACCAAGGCGACGAUCCCUAGCUGGUCUGAGAGGAUGACCAGCCACACUGGAACUGAGACACGGUCCAGACUCCUACGGGAGGCAGCAGUGGGGAAUAUUGCACAAUGGGCGCAAGCCUGAUGCAGCCAUGCCGCGUGUAUGAAGAAGGCCUUCGGGUUGUAAAGUACUUUCAGCGGGGAGGAAGGGAGUAAAGUUAAUACCUUUGCUCAUUGACGUUACCCGCAGAAGAAGCACCGGCUAACUCCGUGCCAGCAGCCGCGGUAAUACGGAGGGUGCAAGCGUUAAUCGGAAUUACUGGGCGUAAAGCGCACGCAGGCGGUUUGUUAAGUCAGAUGUGAAAUCCCCGGGCUCAACCUGGGAACUGCAUCUGAUACUGGCAAGCUUGAGUCUCGUAGAGGGGGGUAGAAUUCCAGGUGUAGCGGUGAAAUGCGUAGAGAUCUGGAGGAAUACCGGUGGCGAAGGCGGCCCCCUGGACGAAGACUGACGCUCAGGUGCGAAAGCGUGGGGAGCAAACAGGAUUAGAUACCCUGGUAGUCCACGCCGUAAACGAUGUCGACUUGGAGGUUGUGCCCUUGAGGCGUGGCUUCCGGAGCUAACGCGUUAAGUCGACCGCCUGGGGAGUACGGCCGCAAGGUUAAAACUCAAAUGAAUUGACGGGGGCCCGCACAAGCGGUGGAGCAUGUGGUUUAAUUCGAUGCAACGCGAAGAACCUUACCUGGUCUUGACAUCCACGGAAGUUUUCAGAGAUGAGAAUGUGCCUUCGGGAACCGUGAGACAGGUGCUGCAUGGCUGUCGUCAGCUCGUGUUGUGAAAUGUUGGGUUAAGUCCCGCAACGAGCGCAACCCUUAUCCUUUGUUGCCAGCGGUCCGGCCGGGAACUCAAAGGAGACUGCCAGUGAUAAACUGGAGGAAGGUGGGGAUGACGUCAAGUCAUCAUGGCCCUUACGACCAGGGCUACACACGUGCUACAAUGGCGCAUACAAAGAGAAGCGACCUCGCGAGAGCAAGCGGACCUCAUAAAGUGCGUCGUAGUCCGGAUUGGAGUCUGCAACUCGACUCCAUGAAGUCGGAAUCGCUAGUAAUCGUGGAUCAGAAUGCCACGGUGAAUACGUUCCCGGGCCUUGUACACACCGCCCGUCACACCAUGGGAGUGGGUUGCAAAAGAAGUAGGUAGCUUAACCUUCGGGAGGGCGCUUACCACUUUGUGAUUCAUGACUGGGGUGAAGUCGUAACAAGGUAACCGUAGGGGAACCUGCGGUUGGAUCACCUCCUUACCUUAAAGAA
rnacentral:rRNA from 1 species